GACGAACGCUGGCGGCGUGCUUAACACAUGCAAGUCGAACGGAAAGGCCCUGCUUUUGUGGGGUGCUCGAGUGGCGAACGGGUGAGUAACACGUGAGUAACCUGCCCUUGACUUUGGGAUAACUUCAGGAAACUGGGGCUAAUACCGGAUAGGAGCUCCUGCUGCAUGGUGGGGGUUGGAAAGUUUCGGCGGUUGGGGAUGGACUCGCGGCUUAUCAGCUUGUUGGUGGGGUAGUGGCUUACCAAGGCUUUGACGGGUAGCCGGCCUGAGAGGGUGACCGGACACAUUGGGACUGAGAUACGGACCAGACUCCUACGGGAGGCAGCAGUGGGGAAUAUUGCACAAUGGGAGGAAGCCUGAUGCAGCAACGCCGCGUGCGGGAUGACGGCCUUCGGGUUGUAAACCGCUUUCGCCUGUGACGAAGCGUGAGUGACGGUAAUGGGUAAAGAAGCACCGGCUAACUACGUG
rnacentral:rRNA from 1 species